CCUACGGGAGGCAGCAGUAGGGAAUAUUGCUCAAUGGGGGAAACCCUGAAGCAGCAACGCCGCGUGGAGGAUGAAGGUUUUCGGAUUGUAAACUCCUUUUGUUAGAGAAGAUAAUGACGGUAUCUAACGAAUAAGCACCGGCUAACUCCGGGCCAGCAGCCGCGGUAAUACGGAGGGUGCAAGCGUUACUCGGAUUCACUGGGCGUAAAGAGAGCGCAGGCGGGAUAGCAAUCGAGAUGUGAAAUCCUAUGGCUUAACCAUAGAACUGAAUUUGAAACUGGUAUUCUAGAGUAUGGGAGAGGUAGGUGGAAUUCUUGGUGUAGGGGUAAAAUCCGUAGAGAUCAAGAGGAAUACUCAUGGCGAAGGCGACCUGCUAGAACAUAACUGACGCUGAUGCGCGAAAGCGUGGGGAGCAAACAGGAUUAGAUACCCGAGUAGUC
rnacentral:rRNA from 1 species